AUAUAUGUCUGUAGUGAGAGAAAGAGAUGGAGAAGGAAAAAAAAGAUGAUGGGAGUUUAAAGGGCAGAAAAAGAGAGCAACAGUGAAAGAGAUGGGGUGAUGAUGAAAUGAGAGGCUGCCAUGAUAAUAAUCUUUCUCUAAAAAAUUGGCAGAGGAUGGAGACCCCCACCCCCACCCCAACCCCCCACCCUUUUCUUUCUCGUGGAGCAGUGAUAGUAGCAGACAAAAUCCAUACAGUUCCGACGUUGAACAGUGGAGCACUGUUUGUGCGUGAGAGAGAGAGGAAACAGUCAUGUAUUAAUCAUGUACGCAUAUGCGAUGCCUUUUCUUUCACAGAAACGCGCUCCUAAUUAUUACGUAAACAUGUUUCACUACACUAUCUAAUCUACGUAAAUUUUCUUCUAUACUUUUAUACA